rnacentral:rRNA from 1 species
GAUGAACGCUGGCGGCGUGCCUAAUACAUGCAAGUCGAGCGAAUGGAUUAAGAGCUUGCUCUUAUGAAGUUAGCGGCGGACGGGUGAGUAACACGUGGGUAACCUGCCCAUAAGACUGGGAUAACUCCGGGAAACCGGGGCUAAUACCGGAUAAUAUUUUGAACCGCAUGGUUCGAAAUUGAAAGGCGGCUUCGGCUGUCACUUAUGGAUGGACCCGCGUCGCAUUAGCUAGUUGGUGAGGUAACGGCUCACCAAGGCAACGAUGCGUAACCGACCUGAGAGGGUGAUCGGCCACACUGGGACUGAGACACGGCCCAGACUCCUACGGGAGGCAGCAGUAGGGGAUCUUCCGCAAUGGACGAAAGUCUGACGGAGCAACGCCGCGUGAGUGAUGAAGGCUUUCGGGUCGUAAAACUCUGUUGUUAGGGAAGAACAAGUGCUAGUUGAAUAAGCUGGCACCUUGACGGUACCUAACCAGAAAGCCACGGCUAACUACGUGCCAGCAGCCGCAGUAA